CCUCAUCCCAUUUUUGCAGUUAAGUUGCUCUGUAGGUUUCUGUUAUGGUUUUUGAUUUUUUGCAGUGCUUUAAUUAUGCACUUUGGCAUUGUUUGGGGAUACUAGUGACUCAAUGAAGAACCCCUUGUAACCAGUUAGUGUUGGUAAAGACUUGCUUUUUAAAGUUUGAUUAUGUCUUUGCAUUUUCAUCUUAAAAACUAUUUAGAGUUGCUUCUUAGAACAUGAUGAUACAUUUGUGGUAAUAAUCUCAUUAUGUUCUUUUUCUUAGUAAAUUCUUUUCUCUUUUGUUUUUCUCUUCAAAUUCUAUAAAUGAAUUAUAGACUUGUACAUAAUUUGAUUUUGAUCAAAAUUAUGCUCAAUCUGUUUGAUCAAAUGCUUACAUGGAAAUUAUGAGUAAGUCCUUUUUUUUUUAUCAUUAUGGCUCUUCAUAUAUCUUACCAGUUAUGAAAGUGGUAAUUAAUUUUAUAUUUAUUUAUUUGUCUAAUAUUAUCUUUAUUAUUUAUAUUUUUGAAAUAAAUUUGAGAGUGAUCUGACUUUUUAAGAAAACCACAUAAAUGUGAUAUUUGGAAGGUCUCUAAGUUGCACAGGGGCCACUGACUAGAUGUUCUUUCUUCUACACUUGUCAUUGCAUUAUUUCAGUAUGCAUUUUGCAUAAAUGGUUGAUAAGAAAACACUUUGAUACAUCUUUUCUUGCCACCAGGAUUAUGGAAAAUGCCCAAUAACAGGUGAACCCCUUACUAUGGACGAUAUUGUUCAUGUUAAAACUGGAAAGGUAUGCUUAUAUUGCUUUUGCUUUUGCUUUUGCGGUUUUCCACUUUUCUUCUUUUCUUCGUGCUCAUUGUUCUUCUUGGAACUUUUGUUUAAUUCACGAAUCAUGUUGGAUGUGCCGGAUCUUUGGAUAACUUGUUGGGACCACACAUUACAGUGGAGGAUAGAGAUCCGUUUCUUACAAUGUUGAAUUUGGAUUUCCAUUAUGAUAUGAUGCUUCAAUUCAACUGUUCAGAAUAUUAAAAGCCUGUUUUUGCUAUAAACUUUGCAUGCUAACUUUAGUGGUUUGUAAUGCAGAUAGUUCGGCCAAGGCCUGUACAAGCUGCUAGCAUCGCUGGAAUGCUUGGAAUGUUCCAGACUGUAUGUAGUUUUACUCAUAAGAAUGGCUAUCUUUUACUCCAUUUAAUGUAGAAUAAUGCUUGCUAAAAACAUAACUUUUUCUGCUGGACUCAGUGGAUGAUCAAUUUUCAUUUAUUUUUUGCUUACUGGCACUCCAAUCCAAAAUAAUAUGGCAGAGUUGUGGGCCUUACUACAUUUCAUUAUGCCAACCUUAUUUGAUAGUCACGAACAGUUUAAUGAGUGGUUUUCUAAAGGAAUUGAGAGCCAUGCAGAACAUGGUGGUACUUUGAAUGAGCACUAGCUUAACCGAUUGCAUUCAAUAUUAAAACCUUUCAUGCUACGUCGAGUUAAAACAAAUGUAGUUUCAGAGCUUACCAGGAAAACAGAGAUCACAGUGCACUGCAAAUUGAGUUCACGACAACAAGCUUUUUAACGAGCUAUCAAGAACAAGAUAUCUCUUUCUGAGUUAUUUGACAACAAUCAUGGACAACUUAAUGACAAAAAACUCCUUAAUUUAAUGAAUAUUGUCAUUCAGCUAAGGAAGGUCUGUAAUCAUCCAGAGUUAUUCGAAAGGAGUGAGGGAAGCACAUAUCUCUACUUUGGUGAGAUUCCCAUUGCCCUUUUGCCUGCCCCCUUUGGGGAAUUGGAGGAUGUACACUACUCAGGAGGUCGCAAUCCUAUAAUAUUCAAGGUUCUUUUUAUAGCUGCUUUCUUUUAAUAUACAUAACUAUGCAAAAUCUCUUGUAUUGUUAUUAUUCUUUUCAAAUAAGCUCCAUCCCCCACAUGUCCUCACCCAUCUCCCCUGUAUGUAGUUUAACAUAAAAUAAAAUAAAAAUGAAAAUGAAUAGCAUUGUAGAACUUAUUUCCAUA